rnacentral:misc_RNA from 1 species
CAACCCUCAGGCCUUUAGUUGUCUGGUGUUGGGGCAUCUACAGCAAUGUAGGCCCCGAAAAACAUUGGCGGUGCUCGCCAGCACUCCGGGCGUAGUAGUUUAUUCUCGCCUAGGACGUCUGGUAGGCUACCGGCCGUAAAACCCCCUAUAUUUUAAAA